CUACGGGCGGCUGCAGUGGGGAAUAUUGGACAAUGGGGGAAACCCUGCUCCAGCAAUGCCGCGUGUGUGAAGAAGGCCUGCGGGUUGUAAAGCACUUUCGGUUGGGAGGACUGCUUCUAGCACUAAUAUUGUUGGAAGUUGACGUUACCUUCAGAAGAAGCACCGGCUAACUCCGUGCCAGCAGCCGCGGUAAUACGGAGGGUGCAAGCGUAAAUCGGAAUUACUGGGCGUAAAGCGCGCGUAGGCGGCUAGAUCAGUCGGGUGUGAAAGCCCCGGGCUUAACCUGGGAACUGCAUCCGAUACUGUCUAGCUUGAGUACAGGAGAGGAGAGUGGAAUUCCACAUGUAGCGGUGAAAUGCGUAGAUAUGUGGAGGAACACCAAUGGCGAAGGCAGCUCUCUGGCCUGAUACUGACGCUGAGGUGCGAAAGCGUGGGGAGCAAACAGGAUUAGAUACCCGAGUAGUC
rnacentral:rRNA from 1 species